AAAAUGACUCUCAGCAACGGAUAUCUUGGCUCUUGCAACGAUGAAGAACGCAGCGAAAUGCGAUACCUAGUGUGAAUUGCAGAAUUCCGCGAAUCAUUGAGUUUUUGAACGCAAGUUGCGCCC
rnacentral:rRNA from 1 species